UACGGAGGGUGCUAGCGUUGUUCGGAAUCACUGGGCGUAAAGGGCGUGUAGGCGGUCUGUUAAGUCUGAUGUGAAAUCCCCUCGCUCAACGAGGGAACUGCGUCGGAUACUGGCAGACUCGAGUACCGGAGAGGAAGGUGGAAUUCCCGGUGUAGCGGUGAAAUGCGUAGAUAUCAGGAGGAAUACCGAUGGCGAAGGCAGGUCUCUGGGCUGACACUGACGCUCAUGCACGAAAGCGUGGGGAGCAAACAGG
rnacentral:rRNA from 1 species